GUGCCAGCCGCCGCGGUAAUACGAAGGGGGCUAGCGUUGUUCGGAUUUACUGGGCGUAAAGCGCACGUAGGCGGAUUGUUAAGUCAGAGGUGAAAUCCCGGAGCUCAACUCCGGAACUGCCUUUGAUACUGGCAAUCUAGAGUCCGGAAGAGGUGAGUGGAACUCCUAGUGUAGAGGUGGAAUUCGUAGAUAUUAGGAAGAACACCAGUGGCGAAGGCGGCUCACUGGUCCGGUACUGACGCUGAGGUGCGAAAGCGUGGGGAGCAAACAGGAUUAGAUACCCGGGUAGUCC
rnacentral:rRNA from 1 species